rnacentral:rRNA from 1 species
CGGCGGACGGGUGAGUAACACGUGGAUAACCUACCUAUAAGACUGGGAUAACUUCGGGAAACCGGAGCUAAUACCGGAUAAGAUUUUGAACCGCAUGGUUCAAUAGUGAAAGACGGCCUUGCUGUCACUUAUAGAUGGAUCCGCGCCGUAUUAGCUAGUUGGUAAGGUAACGGCUUACCAAGGCAACGAUGCGUAGCCGACCUGAGAGGGUGAUCGGCCACACUGGAACUGAGACACGGUCCAG